GACGAACGCUGGCGGCGUGCUUAACACAUGCAAGUCGAACGGAAAGGCCCUGCGUUUGUGGGGUGCUCGAGUGGCGAACGGGUGAGUAACACGUGAGUAACCUGCCCUUGACUUUGGGAUAACUUCAGGAAACUGGGGCUAAUACCGGAUAGGAGCUCCUGCUGCAUGGUGGGGGUUGGAAAGUUUCGGCGGUUGGGGAUGGACUCGCGGCUUAUCAGCUUGUUGGGGGGGUAGUGGCUUACCAAGGCUUUGACGGGUAGCCGGCCUGAGAGGUUGACCGGCCACAUUGGGACUGAGAUACGGCCCAGACUCCUACGGGAGGCAGCAGUGGGGAAUAUUGCACAAUGGGCGGAAGCCUGAUGCAGCAACGCCGCGUGCGGGAUGACGGCCUUCGGGUUGUAAACCGCUUUCGCCUGUGACGAAGCGUGAGUGACGGUAAUGGGUAAAGAAGCACCGGCUAACUACGUG
rnacentral:rRNA from 1 species